rnacentral:rRNA from 1 species
UACAGAGGUCCCAAGCGUUGUUCGGAUUCACUGGGCGUAAAGGGUGCGUAGGUGGCGGGGUAAGUUUGAUGUGAAAUCUCCGGGCUUAACCCGGAAACUGCAUUGAAUACUAUCCCGCUUGAGGGUUGGAGGGGGGACUGGAAUACUUGGUGUAGCAGUGAAAUGCGUAGAUAUCAAGUGGAACACCAGUGGCGAAGGCGAGUCCCUGGACAACUCCUGACACUGAGGCACGAAAGCUAGGGGAGCAAACAGG